AACAAUCUUUGCCGACGUUUGCUGGCUAUUUUAGAACCUAAAGACGGCCGUAAGCAUGACAAGCAGAAUGUUUAGCAGGCCUAUUCGAUAAUAUAAACGUUCGCAGAUAAGAGCCUAUACAUACCAGCAUAAGGUGGUCGGAUGCUUGUCUAAGAAGCGACCUGUCAUGACAAGAAAUGCUGAGGCAUAACAUCGACGCUAGUCAUUUUGGACGAGUAUUGGGCAUUCCGCACCGCACAGCGUUGUGAACAUAUCAUGAGCGGGGCUAAUAGACGAGUAUCCAAGCCUUUUCCAAGAAAACUUAAAACAAAAGCAGGUCCUAAUAUGUGAAUGUAGAGUGCAAACGAGACGAGGAACGCAACCAUCGCUCACCGAAGAAACCGUGAUUAAAGAGAAGAAGUAAGUAACAAAAAUCAAGGACAAACAUCGAGCCAGCAAUGCAGAAAGCGAAAGUGGACACUUCAAACAUUUCUUUUUACCAAGGGAAAUAAACUGUAUCAGCUACUAUCUUCUUUAACUCAUCGCCGUCAACCGAGCAGGAUUCGGAGGCCGCUUACCCUCCCGACUUCCCAAACCCAACGGUUUCCCCAGCUUUCUCGUGGUCGAGAGGAACUCACAGAAGAGUAAAGUAGAACGAAAUAGAACAAGAAAAUAGAAGCGUCCACAAGGUGUCUGACGGAGCUAGUACUCCCGAAGGCAGUGUUCGGCUAAACCCGUUCACCAGCGAGGAGCCGUGGCGACACCUGGUGGAAGAGUCCUGCGUCAUUUUCGUGGAUCAUUACAUUAAAAAUGACUAGGCAUAUCGGAUCAACGCUGGAAAAGUCGGUGCUAGAACAGCAACAACGCUGAUGAAAGUAACGAAGGCGAGUUGUGUCGUUAACUGAGGUGAACGCGAUAGCGGUCACGGGCCAGGUUUGGUGCUUUCGUUUUUUUUUGCUCUCUCACGUUUCCUUUGCUUCUCUCUUCCAGCCCCUUACGUUGCUGUAUUCGUGUCUGCGCGUCUGUCCACAAAGCGUCGCCUCGAAUUAGGCUAGCUAAUGCCUUCAACCAUCAUUAGCAUGUCGGCAAACAGUUCGAAUUCGUGCCGUCCUUCAGAGUUCGUUAAUUACGAAAUCAAAGAGGGAUGAAGAGAGCGGGCGACACAAAGCAACUUCGUUGGGCCAGGGACAAAAACUGGUAUAGGCCGGUUUGCGUGGAGCUUUAGGAAACAAAAAAGGAUAAUGUUAAGCUGAAGACAAAAGCUACGGCAACAAUGGGGAUAUUUAUGAGGAUAGAACGGGUGCAAGGAGGGUUGAUUGAAGUGAAUCAGCGACAAAACAGUUUGUUUGUGACGUGGCAAUCCACUCUGCAGAACUGUAUUCCUCUAUCUGCGCGAUAAACGAACAGAGCGAAGCAGGGCAAAAUGCCUGGGGCAACGAGCCAGCUUGUCAAAUAUUGCCUAUCAACUGCCAAAUAUACGUAUGUCAUAGUGAAGAACAUGACGGUAUAAACCAAACAUUUAUAUUUGUAUAGGUAUGCGUGCGUACGUGUAUAUGUAUAUGCUCAGGCAGGCCGAGUAUUCGCCACGUUCUUUGAUAGUGCUGGUGCUGUCCAAAAAGGAUAUUAAUGCCGGAAAACUUUAGCCACUAUCAACAUCUUAUUCCAAUCUAUUUGUCGUUCCUUCAUACAAAUAAGUGGGUUCUAAAUAGGGUGGGCCGAAUAAUGCUUGGCACGAUGAUCUGUAGGUAAAUAUCCGGCAAGGCUGAUACUUAUCGAAACUGUUGACCCAUGAUUCUGUGAUCUUCAGACAACAUUAUUCCACGUCAAGGAAAAAAGGGGAAUAUUGACUACUGCUGCUGAUACUGCCGCUAGAGGCCGAUGUUCCGUAGUGGUUGUCGUUGUUUGUUAAGCAUCACUUAAUACCAAAUGCAGGCCGUGCUUGAAGUAAACAUAAAAACUCUUCUACUAUUAAAUGAAACCUUAGCAGGAUAGGUCCUGAUUACAUCGCCCAUGGACUGCAUUCAAUCGUCCAUCAGUUUUCUUUCUCGUAUAAUUUCAUGUCAUCCGUAUAUUUCUUCCUGCCGUAGAGAAAUGAUUAAUGUGCUUGUAUAGCAUAAGCACAUUAAUCGUUCGAAUUGGCGUCUAGCUAUCUCGCUGUGUUUUGUUUAGCGACAUUUAUCCUAAAUAUAUAACCCUUUCUUGUAUCCUUUCCCGCAUAUACCUUUGCGCGUAUCUACUAAAAAUGUGCGGAGAUCCAUUUCGAGAGGGGACGAAUUUUGUAUAAUAAGACAUUUUAAAAUCUUCGUUCAGAUUAACUUAAAAACUCUUCAAAUCCUCAUGAAGCACACCUGAUGUAUGUGACCCCUAGUGAAUACGUUUUGCCCCAUUUGCAUCCUGUGAGAGUUAUCAGUGCACACGUCAAACUUAUCAGCGAUUUUAUUACAACGAGUGUAAUGAUUCGUCCCUUUCUUAAGAUGGAAACUGACGUCAUAGUGGCCGGUAGUAAAACAGAUAAUAUAUAUAUACGUAGUAUUAUAAUAAUUUUGUAUUCUAGAGCAGUUUAUCACCUCUCAGCACAUUAGCGCUAUGAUAACGAAAGGGUUGAUAAAUGCGAAACGUUAAAGAAUGAAGCAAUGCCCUCUGCAAUUGCCUCUAUCUGUGCUCAUAAGUAAUAUGCAAAGUGCGCAUAGCCUGUAACACACUUUGCUCUCUCUCUCUCUCUCUCUCUCCUAUAUAUAUAUAUAUAUUCUACUGUUAAUCAGAGAUAGACAGGUGCGCUUACAGCCUUCACUACAGUAACGCAAAAAGUCGUCAUCAAUCUAGCCGAUCGUAUAGACAGACUCUCUACGCAGCAGUGAUCGAAAUACAGAAGAGAACAACGUAGGUAAUGCAAAUGGACCCGUGCGGAUGAUUCGUUCACUGGCGGCCAUAUCUGUCGCCUAGAAAGCCUUCCCCGGAGCGACCUAUACAUGGUUUGACCUGGGCCAUCUGUCUGUAGCGCAGGCAGUGGCAUAUAUCGUAUAGUACAGCACAUUAAUAUUAGAAUUGUCACACUGCGAUUAUUAUUACUUAACCACAAGUUAAGCGCUACUAACACGAGCUUUGCCGUAAGUGCUUUACCUACUAACAUGGCAGGUAGGACAGGAAAAGGCGACGCCGGUAUUGUCUCCAUUGCCAGUACGGUCGCCAUAUGAAAGGCUAAUUAACGAGUCGAUGGGUCACUGAUGACUGAAGUUCUACUGAUCAGUAGAUAAGCUUUUGCGCUCAGUAACCUUAGAGUCCUAACGAGGGCGAACCUCCGUAACUGUAUAUGGUUGGUCGUUCAGUGGAAAAUAUUGUAGCAUCGAAG